rnacentral:lncRNA from 1 species
CGCCAUUCUCACCCUCUCUCUUCAUCUCUCCCUCUUUCUUACUUUGUCUCGCUGCUCCCCACCGUCCCACCGUCUUGCGCCGCCCGCCGCCACUACUCCCCCACUGCUCCCCCACCAUCUUGCGCCGCCUGUCGUUUAAUCUCUCCCCCUCUCUCUUCAUAUCUCCAUCUCUCUGAUUCUCCCUCGCCAGAUCUGGUGCCGACAGAUCUAGGCGACCCAUCGGCCUCUUGUUGGUGUACAUAUAUCAUCCUCCUUCUCCGGAGCCUCCACCACCGCCCCCGGCGGGGUUCCGUUGUUGCCGCCGUCGAGAUCGCUCCUGCCGUCCUCGUCACGGUUGCUCUUCUGGCCGCUGAUGUUGAGGGUGUCGUUGGUCUCGAUUUGCUCGUCGUUUGAGUUGUGGAUCUGGUGAUGGUGGAAUUACCCAAAUUUAGUCAGGUAAUUUGACAAGCAUCUCUUUUUUUUUUUUUUUGUAAUUUUGGGAUUUUGAUUGAAUGAUUGUGUGGUUAUUUCCCAGAUUUUACUGUUUGUUCUGACAUUAGGUGUUGAUGCUUGAUUUGAUGCAAAGUUUGUUGCCUUUGACUUGCAAUUAAUUACUGUAUAUAUUAUGGGUAUCCAACUGAGAAUUUCUCCUUUAUAUUCCUAUAAGGCUGAUUUUAAUUACGCUGUAAUGGGGAUAAGAGUCGAUUGAUGAUAUAAAUUGAUUUCUUAUAUUGUAGUGGUGACUUAAAUUAUAUAUACAUAACCAUAAUUAUACGUAGUAACAUAUAGUAAUAUAUAGUAACAUAUGCAUAUGACCGUGUAUUUUUAAUCGAUAUUUGUAAUAAAAAUUGUUAUUUAUAGUUAUAUAAAAGAUUUUGCUUUGUUUUCUGUUUUUGUAAUUAAAAUUCUACUCUCCAUAUACAUACCUACAAUUCAUAAUUUAAAUUAUAUGUGUACAUACCUCAUUAAUUUUCACAUUUUACUAUUUGAGUUUAUUUGUCAUCUCAUUAAUUCAGUUUCAAGAACAUACAACAAAUCAAAUGAUUUUCUGUGAUAGAAUUUCACUACAGUAAGUAAAUUUUUUUUUUUCAACCACAUUGUUCUAUUCAUCACCUUUAUAUGUAGAUUCAAUUGUGAACUUUUUUGUGGUGUUGAUGAAUUUUAUUUAUAUACAUAUAUAGUCACAUAUGGUCAGGUACGUGUAGUUAUAUAUAGUCACAUGUGGUCACAUACUUAUAUAUAUAGUCAUAUGUGGUCAUAUACACGUAAUCAUAUAUAGUCACAUAUGGUCAUAUACAUGUAGUCAUAUAUAGUCACGUGUGGUCAUAUACAUGUAGUCAUAUAUAGUCACGUGUGGUCAUAUACAUGUAGUCAUAUAUAGUCACGUGUGGUCAUAUACAUGUAGUCAUAUAUAGUCACGUGUGGUCAUAUACAUGUAGUCAUAUAUAGUCACGUGUGGUAAUAUAUAGUUAUGUAUAAGCUAUGUACCAACAUGUAGUCAUGUAUGAGUUAUGCGAGGAGUAUAUAUGCUGGUGAUGUGUAUGUAUGUCUGUGUCGAUUCAAAUUUGAAGACAAAAUCAUUG